UACGGAGGGAGCUAGCGUUGUUCGGAAUUACUGGGCGUAAAGCGCGCGUAGGCGGCUUUGUAAGUUAGAGGUGAAAGCCCGGGGCUCAACCCCGGAACUGCCUUUAAAACUGCAUCGCUUGAAUCCGGGAGAGGUGAGUGGAAUUCCGAGUGUAGAGGUGAAAUUCGUAGAUAUUGGGAAGAACACCGGUGGCGAAGGCGGCUCUCUGGACCGGAUCUGACGCUGAGGCGCGAAAGCGUGGGGAGCAAACAGG
rnacentral:rRNA from 1 species